rnacentral:rRNA from 1 species
AGAGUUUGAUCCUGGCUCAGAUUGAACGCUGGCGGCAUGCCUAACACAUGCAAGUCGAACGGUAGCAGGCCUUCGGGUGCUGACGAGUGGCGGACGGGUGAGUAAUGCGUAGGAAUCUGCUCUGAUGUGGGGGAUAACGUAGGGAAACUUACGCUAAUACCGCAUACGACCGAGAGGUGAAAGCGGGGGACCGAAAGGCCUCGCGCAGCAGGAUGAGCCGAUGCCCGAUUAGCUGGUUGGUGGGGUAACGGCCCACCAAGGCGACGAUCGGUAGCUGGUCUGAGAGGAUGAUCAGCCACACUGGGACUGAGACACGGCCCAGACUCCUACGGGA